UUUUUCAAAUGUGGGGUAGGCGCGUGCCUGUGAUUCUAAUGAUUCCGUGCGUGCGCAUGCGCGUCCUCGUCUCUCUGCGCGUCUGGUCUGGAGUUUAUUCAUCAACGCACUACAACUUCAGUAUUAUUCGCGGUUAGAGGACACACGUCACGGUUUAAAAGGACAAUCCUGACUGAUGAGCGGCUAAAUGGAUUGAGACGGUCCGUCGAGAGAAAGAAUAGGAGGAGAGAGAUAGAGGAUGAAUGAUCCAGCUAAUCCAGGCCAAUCCCAGCCGUGCAGACUCCUCUGGAGCCACACACAAAACACGGCGGAUCACAAUCUGAUGUGCUUUAGACGGACUGUUUGGGAGAAGUUCUGCAUCAUGUAAAUCUGAAGAAGUCACUAAUGAGUUAACAGUGAGAUUCAGUGAUUCUUUUAAAAUGAUGGUGACAUGCAAAAAAUUUUUGAAGAUAUUUUGUGUAUGAAACAUAUUUUUUUCUACUUA